rnacentral:rRNA from 1 species
GCAUAUCAAUAAGCGGAGGAAAAAGAAACUAACAAGGAUUCCCCCUAGUAACUGCGAGUGAAGCGGGAAAAGCUCAAAUUUAAAAUCUGGCGGUCUUCGGCCGUCCGAGUUGUAAUCUGGAGAAGCGUUUUCCGCGCUGGACCGUGUACAAGUCUCUUGGAACAGAGCGUCAUAGAGGGUGAGAAUCCCGUCUUUGACACGGACUACCAGUGCUAUGUGAUGCGCUCUCGAUGAGUCGAGUUGUUUGGGAAUGCAGCUCAAAAUGGGUGGUAAAUUCCAUCUAAAGCUAAAUAUUGGCGAGAGACCGAUAGCGAACAAGUACCGUGAGGGAAAGAUGAAAAGCACUUUGGAAAGAGAGUUAAACAGUACGUGAAAUUGCUGAAAGGGAAACGAUUGAAGUCAGUCGCGUGUGCUAGAACUCAGCCUUGCUUUUGCUUGGUGCAUUUUCUAGUGUACGGGCCAGCAUCAGUUUUGGCCGCCGGAAAAAGGCCUUGGGAAUGUGGCACCUUCGGGUGUGUUAUAGCCCUUGGUUGUAUACGGUGGCUGGGACUGAGGAACAUAGCAUGCCUUUACGGCGGGGCUUCGGCCACCUUCAUGCUUUGGAUGCUGGCGUAAUGGCUUUAAACGACCCGUCUUGAAACACGGACCAAGGAGUCUAACAUGCCUGCGAGUGUUUGGGUGGAAAACCCGAGCGCGUAAUGAAAGUGAAAGUUGGGACUUCUGUCGUGGAAGGCACCGACGCCCGGACCAGACCUUCUGUGACGGAUCCGCGGUAGAGCAUGUAUGUUGGGACCCGAAAGAUGGUGAACUAUGCCUGAAUAGGGUGAAGCCAGAGGAAACUCUGGUGGAGGCUCGUAGCGAUUCUGACGUGCAAAUCGAUCGUCAAAUUUGGGUAUAGGGGCGAAAGACUAAUCGAACCCAUCUAGUAGCUGCUCUGCGA